GCCUCCCUCCCUUCCCCGCUUUCUCGGCCACCGAAGCUGCGGCAUGGGAGGCGCGCAAGGGAGCCCAGCUCCGGCAGGGCUCCUCGCUUGCCUAAAACAUGCCGGGGUGGAAGGUCAUAAGAAAGCUGGAAACAAAGGCCCUCCCAACCCUGGAGGGGCGGGCUUGGCGCCGUCAGCCCAAACCCUUCGGUCCUUUUUACGAUUUACCUUUUUACUGUUGGGGAUUUGAGCCUGCAAGGCGGGUCCUGUGGUUGCUUGGGUCGGGGGAGGCUGACCGGACCCCUCCUUCACUGAACCCCAAGCGGAAUAAAUUCAGGGAAAUGGGGAGAAUCCGCUGUUGGAUGCUGAUUCUGACGCUAGUUAUUAGGUUCUUAAACAUUUUGUUUUUCAAUGAAGGAAUUUUAUUGACUCUCAAUUAUUCCAAAGCUGGGUUGUAAAUAAAAAGAAAAUAUUUUAAAGCAGGAACUGCUGCUCUUCUGCAAGAUAGUUUUUUCUGCUGAUAAUAAUAGUUAAUAGCCCAGUUAAAUGGUUGUGAUUAGGGAAGGAGGAACACUCCAGGCAUUCUCAAAAAAGGUAUUGGCACGAAAAGAUCCUGCGCCAGUUCAACUUAUAGUUCAGUUUUUGGAACAGGCUUCCAAACCUUCAGUAAAUGAACAAAACCAAGUUCAACCUCCGCCUGAUAACAAGAGAAAUCGUAUUUUAAAACUACUUGCUCUUAAAGUUGCUGCACAUUUGAAGUGGGACUUAGACAUAUUAGAGAAAAGUUUGUCUGUUCCAGUGUUGAAUAUGCUACUAAAUGAACUACUCUGUAUCAGUAAAGUUCCUCCUGGGACCAAGCAUGUAGACAUGGAUCUGGCCACUUUACCUCCAACCACUGCCAUGGCUAUACUUCUCUACAAUAGAUGGGCAAUUAGGACGAUUGUUCAAAGUAGUUUUCCAGUCAAACAGGCAAAACCUGGACCCCCUCAGUUAAGUGUUAUGAAUCAAAUGCAACAGGAAAAAGAGCUAACAGAAAACAUUUUGAAAGUGCUGAAAGAACAAGCUGCUGAUUCUAUUUUGGUACUAGAGGCAGCCCUAAAAUUAAACAAGGAUCUUUAUGUCCAUACGAUGAGAACUCUAGAUUUAUUGGCCAUGGAACCAGGCAUGGUAAAUGGAGAAACUGAGAGUUCUACUGCUGGAUUGAAAGUCAGAACCGAAGAAAUGCAGUGCCAGGUGUGCUAUGAUUUGGGUGCAGCAUACUUCCAGCAAGGCUCCACAAAUUCAGCUGUCUAUGAAAAUGCCAGGGAAAAAUUUUUUAGAACCAAAGAACUAAUUGCAGAGAUAGGUUCAUUAUCUCUUCAUUGUACCAUAGAUGAGAAGCGGUUAGCUGGCUAUUGUCAAGCAUGUGAUGUUCUUGUACCUUCUUCUGAUAGUACGUCUCAACAAUUGACUCCAUAUAGUCAAGUCCAUAUUUGUUUGAGAUCUGGCAGCUAUCAGGAGGUAAUACAGAUUUUCAUUGAAGACAACUUAACCUUGAGUUUACCUGUCCAGUUCCGACAGUCAGUACUAAGAGAACUCUUUCAGAAAGCUCAACAGGGAAAUGAAGCUCUAGAUGAAAUCUGUUUUAAAGUUUGUGCCUGUAAUACAGUCCGUGAUAUACUGGAAGGCAGAACAAUUAGUGUUCAAUUCAACCAGCUAUUUCUUAGACCGAAUAAAGAGAAAAUAGACUUUCUUCUUGAGGUAUGUUCAAGAUCAAUAAAUCUAGAAAAAGCUUCAGAGUCUUUGAAAGGAAACAUGGCUGCUUUUCUGAAGAAUGUGUGUCUGGGAUUGGAAGAUCUGCAGUAUGUUUUCAUGAUUUCUUCACAUGAGCUUUUCAUUACAUUGUUGAAAGAUGAAGAACGAAAGCUACUUGUUGAUCAGAUGAGGAAGAGAUCCCCUAGAGUAAAUCUGUGCAUUAAACCUGUAACUUCAUUUUAUGAUAUCCCAGCCUCAGCAAGUGUCAACAUUGGUCAGUUAGAGCAUCAACUUAUAUUGUCAGUGGAUCCUUGGAGGAUUAGACAGAUUUUAAUUGAAUUACAUGGUAUGACUUCAGAGCGCCAAUUCUGGACAGUGUCUAAUAAGUGGGAAGUACCUUCUGUCUAUAGUGGUGUUAUCCUGGGAAUUAAAGACAAUUUAACAAGAGAUUUGGUUUAUAUUCUUAUGGCCAAAGGUUUGCACUGCAGUAUUGUUAAGGACUUCUUCCAUGCUAAACAGCUCUUUGCUGCUUGUUUGGAGUUGGUAACAGAGUUCUCACCAAAGCUUCGUCAGGUCAUGCUGAAUGAGAUGUUGCUUUUGGAUAUUCAUACACACGAAGCUGGGACAGGGCAGGCAGGAGAGAGACCGCCAUCUGACCUCAUUAGUAGGGUCCGAGGCUAUCUGGAAAUGAGGCUUCCUGAUAUUCCUCUUCGUCAAGUUAUAGCUGAGGAGUGUGUUGCCUUUAUGUUAAACUGGAGGGAAAAUGAAUACCUUACACUCCAAGUUCCUGCAUUUUUGCUUCAGAGUAAUCCAUAUGUGAAGCUUGGACAGCUUUUAGCAGCUACAUGCAAAGAACUUCCAGGCCCUAAAGAAAGUAGACGGACAGCCAAAGACCUUUGGGAAGUUGUUGUUCAAAUUUGCAGUGUGUCCAGUCAGCACAAGCGAGGAAAUGAUGGCAGAGUUAGUUUAAUAAAGCAGAGGGAAUCUACGCUAGGUAUUAUGUAUCGGAGUGAACUGCUUUCUUUUAUCAAAAAAUUACGAGAACCACUGGUUUUGACUAUUAUUUUAUCACUCUUUGUGAAACUUCACAAUGUUCGGGAGGACAUUGUGAAUGAUAUUACAGCUGAACACAUUUCUAUUUGGCCAUCUUCCAUUCCCAACCUCCAGUCUGUGGACUUCGAAGCUGUGGCAAUCACAGUGAAAGAACUAGUUCGAUAUACACUCAGUAUAAAUCCAAAUAACCAUUCCUGGUUAAUUAUCCAGGCAGAUAUUUAUUUUGCAACAAAUCAGUAUUCAGCAGCUCUUCACUAUUACCUCCAGGCAGGAGCUGUGUGUUCUGACUUCUUUAAUAAGGCUGUGCCCCCUGAUGUUUAUACAGACCAGGUGAUAAAACGAAUGAUAAAAUGUUGUUCUUUGCUGAAUUGCCACACACAGGUGGCAAUUUUAUGUCAGUUCCUCAGAGAAAUUGACUACAAAACAGCGUUUAAAUCUCUGCAAGAACAAAACAGUCAUGAUGCUAUGGAUUCCUACUAUGACUACAUAUGGGAUGUUACCAUUUUAGAAUACUUGACUUAUCUUCAUCAUAAAAGAGGAGAAACAGAUAAAAGACAAAUUGCAGUGUAUAAAACCUCUGAAGGGGGGAGAGGAAAAGCCGCAAUCAAGUACAUUGUCAUUCACAUUCUCCAGGUGGCAGUAAGUCGCGGAUUCGGAGGUUUUAGCUCAGUCCCUCAGAAGAGGGCCUGGGCCGUGUGACCCUGCCGUCUUCUGUGCUGUUAGCUAGCUCAUGGUAAUUCACUUUGGAUACACGCCUGCAUCUCCUCAACUGAAUGUACAGCCGGGACGCGGGUGUCCAAAGAUUUACCAAGCACUCCCGGCACCUUGAAUGCGCACAGAAGCACCUCUUCCCCAAACGGGUUUUUCUGGGUCUUCCACCCUCUCCCCCGUACACCGAGAUUCGGGCUUGGGCAGCGCCCCCACGUCCCGCCUCCUGUCCUGGACGAGCGCGGAGAGGGGGUUGUGGAGGCGAAAGGCUGUGGAGAAGCCGGUUCCGCGCCAAUUCGGAGAGCGGCAGUGGCGGGGAAGCAGGGGGCGGAGGAACUGACUGGUGUCACGGCCUCCAGUCUCCUUUCCCUCCUUCCCGGUCCCGACCCCCUACCGCCGCUCGGAGGGGCGCCGGGACCCCAACUCCUGAUGGGAGGCGGGGGGCAGGGAAAGGAGCUAAAGAAAGGGGAGACUGGCCUGGCGGGGAACUUUUCUCCCCAUGGAGGGAACCCUGCCUCCCAUCCUCUCUCCCACGAGAUAGGUCCCCAAAUGAGGGUGGGAUAGAGAAGCCCCUAGAAUGAGGGGCGGCUCUUCAUGCCCCGCCGCUUCCCGGUCCCCUGCCAAGGGUCCUGACAGGGACGGAACGCGGGGACCCAUGACCUCCAGUCGCCUAGUUUUCAGCCCUUCCGUAUUUCCUCCCUGAGGCUCCCGCCUGCGGUAAGGGAUCGGCCCAACUGGGCUUUCUUUCCUCCCGCAUCCCCCUUACGCGCAGCAGCUCCUCACCGCCAAACCAGCUACCGCUCAGCUCAGCUGGCGCCGGCGCCAACCCAAUAUAUAGGCCGGGCCGGGCCCGCCCCGCACGCAUGCGCCUCACACUGACACCUCCGGACAGCGCACUCCCCUCUCCCGCCCGCCGGUCUGUCCGCGCGCCCGUGCGUCGCGCCCUGUCCUCGCUAAGCACCCGCCACCCGGGGCGGCCGUGGGGUAGACUCUCCCAGGCUUUCGGUCCCCGUCCACCACGCCCCAUAGCGCGGCCGGCGGCGACUGGGAGACUCUCAGAGGCUCCUUUUCCGCUGAUGGCCUCCCCGCCGCCCAGCUCCUGCAUCUCCCGCCAGUUUGCUCUUGCCCUAUCCCACUGCAACUCCUGGAUUUCGGGGCUGUCAGGCUGCGGCUCUGCCCGGGCGCAUGACAGGAGGACGCGACUCAGGUAAGCAUAGGGUGGCUGGGGAGUGACAGUCCUGGGGCGCACCCUGGCCGUCCCGCCAAGGCCUGAGAGAACCCGGGUCUUCCCUGAGCUACGCGGGGACCUCAGGGCCCGCCCCUGGGGGAGGAGCGAAGCGUUGACUGACGAGCUGGCCAAUGGGAGGCACGGGCGGCCGCACAACGUGGAGCUGCUGCAGAAUGUAAACACCGCUCCACCGCGCGCCGAGCCUUGUGCGGCUCUGCUAGCUCGUCCCGGCCCGGCGACCACCCGGAGCUGGCUCCGCCAGUCCUGCGCUGCACGCCCAGGUAAGGCAUCUCCAGUCCGCCCACCCAGAGUGAAAUUCUGCCUGACUUUUAAAACAACUUCAAGUGUGCCGACCUGACCAAUCUGACUCCCUUCCUGAUAAGUGCCAUGGAUGCAGUCCGGGUGCACCAGAGACGCAAAGCCAGCCUCAAAGAAUGAUUCAAAUCUAAACACAGAGGAGCAUUUUGCGUCCCCUAGGGCCCAGGCUUGGUUUGAAGCAGAGAACCCUGGGGCCUGCACUUCCCAGGGUUUCCAGACAUGAUGGCGCAGAGUAGGCCCUGGGAGACUGGCCAAGAAAUAAGCUUCUGGGGAAGCCAUCACUUCAGACUCUGUUAAUGUUAUUUCAGAGGCUGGGAUGAUCACAGACACUCCUGGUCAACACUUUAAUUACUAAUCCAGUUUUCACCGUUGCAGACUUCUCUAGAGGCUAUUUUUAGCCUGUGAGAUAGCUAUAUCAUUUCAUUGAUUUUUUUAUGUUAUGACAUACUCUUGAAUACAGUUGUCCAACUUUUGACAGGAAUAAUUUUAUCCUUGUAUUUCCACAUUAGAGAGCACCCCAUAUGGGGAUACAUAAGCCAGAGUGUGUUCUAUCUGUAUCCCCAUGUUCCCCCAAACUGGAAAACUCCCAUCCUUUGCUUCCUCCUUCUUUUGCCCUCAUCCCCUGCACCCCAGUCACACUCGUCAAUUCUGUGUUCACAGUAUCUCCAACAUCCUUCUCUUUCCAACCCAUUCCCUGUAUUUUACCCUUGGGAGGUGUUUAGUAAAUGCUGACCAACUGAUACAAUUCAUUUCCCUUUUUAUUCCUUGCAUUUGGAUAUGACACUAGUUUUAACGUAGUUGAGUGUUAAGUUUUAUUUAAAACCUAUACGCCAGGGUGUGUUGAAGCAACGGGACACAUUCUUUUUAGCCAGAUAAUUCAAUGCCAAAAAAAAAAAAACUUGAAAAACUUAAGCUUUAUUCUUGUUACAGAGGAAGCGAAUCCCUCACUUCUUUUAGGACUAUCUUUUGAAAUACAUGUAUUUCCAACUUAAAGAACUUAGAAAUAAAAUUUUACCCCAACAGA